AGAGUUUGAUCAUGGCUCAUAACGUACGCUGGCGGCACGCCUAACACAUGCAAGUCGAACGAAGUAGCAAUACUUAGUGGCAGACGGGUGAGUAACAUGUGGGUAUCUACCCUUUGGCCUGGAAUAACACGAGGAAACUUGUGCUAAUACCGGAUAAGUCUUUACGGAGAAAGCUUUAUGCACCAUUGGAUGAGCCCGCACUUGAUUAGUUUGUUGGUAGGGUAAUGGCCUACCAAGACUAUGAUCAAUAGCUGAUUUGAGAGGAUGAUCAGCCACAUUGGGACUGAGACACGGCCCAAACUCCUACGGGAGGCAGCAGUGGGGAAUCUUGCACAAUGGAGGAAACUCUGAUGCAGCGAUGCCGCGUGAGUGAAGAAGGCCUUUGGGUUGUAAAGCUCUUUCGUCGGGGAAGAAAAUGACUGUACCCGAAUAAGAAGGUCCGGCUAACUUCGUGCCAGCAGCCGCGGUAAUACGAAGGGACCUAGCGUAGUUCGGAAUUACUGGGCUUAAAGAGUUCGUAGGUGGUUGAAAAAGUUGGUGGUGAAAUCCCAGAGCUUAACUCUGGAACUGCCAUCAAAACUUUUCAGCUAGAGUAUGAUAGAGGAAAGCAGAAUUUCUAGUGUAGAGGUGAAAUUCGUAGAUAUUAGAAAGAAUACCAAUUGCGAAGGCAGCUUUCUGGAUCAUUACUGACACUGAGGAACGAAAGCAUGGGUAGCGAAGAGGAUUAGAUACCCUCGUAGUCCAUGCCGUAAACGAUGUGUGUUAGACGUUGGAAAUUUAUUUUCAGUGUCGCAGGGAAACCGAUAAACACACCGCCUGGGGAGUACGACCGCAAAGUUAAAACUCAAUGAAUUGAC
rnacentral:rRNA from 1 species